UCGGCCAUGCUUUGGCAUCGCAUGUGCGUGGGCAGAGGAAGUUCAACCCGUGAGCAGGAAAACCCUAGGGUUCGCAGAGAAGUCGGUAUAGCGAACCCAUUCGGCUCCAUCGUCUCGUCCCAUGAUCCACGACAUCCAACAGUUCUUACCCCUCGUGGAUCGCUCAACCGCUAUCACCACAAAUCACCACAGAGACUACCCUUUCGGCCAUCUUCCA
rnacentral:lncRNA from 1 species